rnacentral:rRNA from 1 species
CCUACGGGUGGCAGCAGUGGGGAAUAUUGCACAAUGGGGGGAACCCUGAUGCAGCAACGCCGCGUGAAGGAAGACGGUUUUCGGAUUGUAAACUUCUAUCAAUAGGGAAGAAAGAAAUGACGGUACCUAAAUAAGAAGCCCCGGCUAACUACGUGCCAGCAGCCGCGGUAAUACGUAGGGGGCAAGCGUUAUCCGGAUUUACUGGGUGUAAAGGGGGCGUAGACGGGGAUGCAAGUCAGAAGUGAAAGCCCGGGGCCCAACUCCGGGACUGCUUUUGAAACUGUGUAACUGGAGUGCAGGAGAGGUAAGCGGAAUUCCUGGUGUAGCGGUGAAAUGCGUAGAUAUCAGGAGGAACACCAGUGGCGAAGGCGGCUUACUGGACUGUAACUGACGUUGAGGCUCGAAAGCGUGGGGAGCAAACAGGAUUAGAUACCCCUGUAGUC